rnacentral:lncRNA from 1 species
CAUGUUCAAUUGGCAGAGAUGACGAGGACUUGCCCUGACUUUAGUCGGUGCUCAGAAGUUUCUCCAAGGUCCAUUUGUGAGCUGCCUUGUGAAAUCCAGUUUCAUCAGGAACCCUGGGAAGUCAGUGUGUUCUGAAUUUUAAAGGUGCGAUAACAAGAAUAUAUUUCCUCUGAAUCCAGAAGUCAGCCUGGGUCCUUGAGGUGACCUUGUGGUCUACUUUCUAGAGUCUAACUGCAGUGAUCAACAGCCAGCCCGUUAACCACCAAAGAAAUGAGACCCACCAUUGUAAGAUGUGUGCAGAACUGUAAGAUGCGCAAUCAGAAUCCCAUCUUUUAUUGCCAACCUGGGCACAAAAACCUCACAGGACGGAGAGUCUGAGGACAUUCCCUCUAAACUUAAGGAAGACCUUGACCGACAUCCAAGCCGAGGAAGCCCUCACAUGGAUGGGAACCAACCAGCCAGCUCUUUCCCACAAGAGUGUCCCAGGUGACAUAGGGACAAUAUGGUGCAUGCCAUGUUGUCAACAGGCCAGGCCACACUGAGACAUUCCAGGGAUGGAACAUGAGGGAAGCAUUAACCUCUGAGCGACUUUUCA